GGGAAUGUAGCUCAGUUGGCAGAGUGCUUGCCUAGUGUGCAGGACACCUGGCUUCACCCCAACAUCACA
rnacentral:tRNA from 1 species